rnacentral:misc_RNA from 1 species
GAUGAAGAACGCAGCGAAAUGCGAUACUUGGCGUGAAUUGCAGAAUCCCGUGAACCAUCGAGUCUUUGAACGCAAGUUGCGCCCGAAGCCAUUAGGCCGAGGGCACGCCUGCCUGGGCGUCACACGUCGUUGCCCCCCCAUCUACUCCUUCGGGAUUGCGGGGGGCGGAUGAUGGCCUCCCGUGCGCCUCGUCGCGCGGUUGGCAUAAAUGCCAAGUCCUCAGCGACGCACGCCACGACAAUCGGUGGUUGCGAAACCUCGGUUGCCCGUCGUGUGCGGUCGUCGCGCAUCGAGGGCUCGAAAAAAUUGCCGGGCUCCGGCUCGGCUUUCAACGCGACCCCAGGUCAGGCGGGGUUACCCGCUGAAUUUAAGCAUAUCAAUAAGCGGAGGA